GUCCCUGUAGCGCAAGGAAUCGCGCGUUGAACUUGUAAUCCAAAGUUGUGGGCUCGAAUCCCGGCUGGGAUG